rnacentral:lncRNA from 1 species
AAAUAUCUAGGUAUAUCUAUCUCUGAUCAUAAUAUUAACUCGGUAAUCUUGGAGCCUAUUUUGGAGAAAAUGAGGAAAAGGCUAGACCCAUAGAAGGGCAAGCACCUCUCUUCUGGGGGGAGAUUAAUUCUAACUAACUCCUGUCUCAGUAGUCUACCUAUGUAUUGCAUGGGUUUUUAUCUCCUCCCUAAAGAGUUUCAUUAUAAAAUGAAUUCGAUUAGAUCUAACUUCUUUUGGCAAGGAGCUGAAAAGAAAAAAUGCUAUCACAUGGCCAAAUGGGAGAUGGUAACUAGACCAAAAGACCAAGGUCGUCUCGACAUCCUUGACAGCAGAUUGAUGAAUGAAUGUCUGCUGGUAAAAUCGAUAUGGAAAAUUGCUCAGGGGUCUAAUGGCACUUGGUUCAAACUUAUCAAAGGGAAAUACAUGAGCAAGGGAAUUUUUUCCUGUCAUCGGAUAGAGAUGCGUCUCAAUUUUGGAAAGGGUUGCACAAGGUUAAACACCUAUUCAAAUGGGUGCUAUUAAUAAAGUUAGGAACGAGGAAGGUACCCUCUUUUGGAAAGAUACCUGGCGGGGGGAUGUGCCCCUAAAAUUAGUAUAUCCUAGAUUCUUUGACAUUUGCAUGGACAAAGAUGCCAGAGUUGUAGAUUAUUAUGAGGACGAGGAGUGGAAUAUCGACCUCAAGCGGCCCCUGACGAUUGCUGAUUUUCAGGUUUGGGAUGAAUUUAUAACUAUGCUUGACGAUCAAGAGCUCACUCAUGAGAGAGAUGAGGUGAUAUGGGGCCUAGACAAAUCUAAAACUUUCACAACUCAGUCUAUGUAUAGGUUUAUGACUGAUGGAGGGAUUAGAAAAGAUAUGUAUAAAAAUAUUUGGAAGUCCAAGGUGCCCUUGCGGAUUAAAGUUUUUUGUGGCAAUUAUGUAACCGGAAAAUUCAGGCAGGCGCGGUGCUGAAAAAAGGUUGGAAGGGUAGUGACCGGAUUAAAGUUUUUUGUGGCAAUUAUGUCAAAAGCAAGAAACAGUGGAUCAUAUAUUCUUUCAGUGCUCCUUGGCAUAUUUUGUGUGGAGUUGUUUGAGGCAAGUUUUUGGAAGGAACAAUAUUCCCAGCUCGGUGGAAGAGAUGUUCUGCUUCUGGAUUGAAGCGAAACCUAAGAGGGCUUAUCUUUUUCGUUUAUUUCUGCUUGCAGGCAUGGUCUGGGCCUUAUGGCGUAAUAGAAAUAAGAUGAUGUUCGAGAAAGAGUUCCCAUGCAACCCUUUUGUGCUCCUCCGUGAUGUUGUUUCGUUUUUGCAGAAAUGGAAGGUGUUGCUAUCUGAAGAUGAGCAAAUCAUGUUGGAGAAGAAGCUAGAGGAGGUGCAUUCUUGGAUUUUCAGCUUCAAGAGCAUCGAUGGAGGAGGAAGCGACAUAGUAGUGAAUUGAAGUAUUGGAAAAAUUAAUGUUGAGAUUUCUCAACGCUUUCUGGAGUGAUUUAGAGUGUUCUCCUCAAGCUGGUGGUACAACUUUGUUGGAGGAAAUGCUCUCGAGGUUUUGUUCUUUUUGGAGAAGUUCAUGGCUCUUGUGUGAAGACUGUGUUUCUGCUAGCUGAUCGGUUCACUGAAUGUGUUCUUGCUUUGCCAGUCUGUAGGUUUAUUUUAGAAGGUCUGGUGGUUU